rnacentral:rRNA from 1 species
UAGGGAAUCUUCGGCAAUGGACGAAAGUCUGACCGAGCAACGCCGCGUGAGUGAAGAAGGUUUUCGGAUCGUAAAACUCUGUUGUUAGAGAAGAACAAGGACGUUAGUAACUGAACGUCCCCUGACGGUAUCUAACCAGAAAGCCACGGCUAACUACGUGCCAGCAGCCGCGGUAAUACGUAGGUGGCAAGCGUUGUCCGGAUUUAUUGGGCGUAAAGCGAGCGCAGGCGGUUUCUUAAGUCUGAUGUGAAAGCCCCCGGCUCAACCGGGGAGGGUCAUUGGAAACUUGGAGACUUGAGUGCAGAAGAGGAUAGUGGAAUUCCAUGUGUAGCGGUGCAAUGCGUAGAUAUAUGGAGGAACACCAGUGGCGAAGGCGGCUCUCUGGUCUGUAACUGACGCUGAGGCUCGAAAGCGUGGGGAGCAAACAGG